CCUACGGGAGGCAGCAGUGAGGAAUAUUGGUCAAUGGGCGCGAGCCUGAACCAGCCAAGUCGCGUGAAGGAUGACUGCCCUACGGGUUGUAAACUUCUUUUAUAAAGGGAUAAAGUGAGGCACGUGUGCCUUUUUGUAUGUACUUUAUGAAUAAGGAUCGGCUAACUCCGUGCCAGCAGCCGCGGUAAUACGGAGGAUCCGAGCGUUAUCCGGAUUUAUUGGGUUUAAAGGGAGCGUAGAUGGGUUGUUAAGUCAGUUGUGAAAGUUUGGGGCUCAACCGUGAAAUUGCAAUUGAUACUGGAAGCCUUGAGUACAGUUGAGGUAGGCGGAAUUCGUGGUGUAGCGGUGAAAUGCUUAGAUAUCACGAAGAACUCCGAUUGCGAAGGCAGCUUACUAAACUGCCACUGACGUUGAUGCUCGAAAGUGUGGGUAUCAAACAGGAUUAGAUACCCUUGUAGUC
rnacentral:rRNA from 1 species